UCACUGAUGUUGUCGUAAUGUAUGACCAAAACACCAACCGUCCUAGAGGGUUUGGUUUCAUUACUUUUGAUAAUGAGGAUUCUGUUGAGGCUGUGCUUCAGAAGAGUUUCCAUGAGCUCAAAGGCAAACUUGUGGAGGUCAAGCGUGCACUUCCCAAGGAAAUGAAUUCUAGCAAUGGUUCUAACCGUCAAUCUGGUGGUGGCUCCUAUCAAUCCUCCAACACUAGCUCCUAUGAAGGUAGCAG
rnacentral:misc_RNA from 1 species